AUAAAUCUGAAUUUAUACUUUCUUUUAUGAUGUUUAACGACCGUCAUGUUAGGUCUUGAUUUUUAAUGACGGGUAUCAACCGUCAUAAAUGUUAUGACUUUUUAGAAUUGCCAUCAUAUAUAUUUCCAUGACAUUUUUCAAACGCCAUGCUUGAAAUAUUUUAUGACAGUUUCUAAGAGUCAUGAAAUCAUUCGGCCCAAUUGUUCGAUGACGUUUUUCGAGUGCCAUUAAUUCCGGGAU
rnacentral:lncRNA from 1 species